UUGUCUGGAGCUCCAGACGCCUAGGCAAGAGCCCGCUGCGCCCCCUGCGCGCUCCUCCUGCUCGGAGCACGGCUCCUACCUGUAGAGUCCGGACGGGCGCUCCCUCCCCGGGCACCUACACCUUCUCCCCUUUCGGAAAUCUCCCGUCCAGCUACCCGGGUCUCGGACAGGCGGCACUGGGACCACGAGGCAGGGAGCCAGGCUUGAAGCAGGUGACAUGUAGACGUCCCCUGGUCCAGCCUCGGAACCUGAGCGCCCUUCUGCCUGGAAAGUUUGUGGCUAGGCGCCAUGGCCAAGAGCAGCUCCCUGAAUGUUCGCGUGGUGGAGGGCCGCGCGCUGCCUGCCAAGGACGUGUCUGGGAGCAGCGACCCCUACUGCCUAGUGAAAGUGGACGACGAGGUGGUGGCCAGGACAGCUACUGUCUGGAGGAGCCUGGGCCCCUUCUGGGGGGAGGAGUACACGGUGCACCUGCCUCUGGAUUUCCACCAGCUGGCCUUCUACGUGCUGGAUGAGGACACUGUCGGGCACGACGACAUCAUCGGCAAGAUCUCGCUGAGCAGGGAGGCGAUUACAGCCGACCCCCGAGGGAUUGACAGCUGGAUUAACUUGAGCCGAGUGGACCCAGAUGCAGAAGUGCAGGGUGAGAUCUGCCUGUCAGUGCAGAUGCUGGAGGAUGGGCAGGGCCGCUGCCUUCGCUGCCAUGUGCUUCAGGCCAGGGACCUGGCUCCCAGAGACAUCUCUGGCACAUCUGACCCAUUUGCACGUGUGUUUUGGGGCAGCCAGAGCUUGGAGACCUCAACCAUCAAGAAGACUCGCUUCCCGCACUGGGAUGAAGUGCUGGAGCUGCGGGAGAUGCCAGGUGCCCCGUCCCCACUGCGGGUGGAGCUCUGGGACUGGGACAUGGUGGGCAAGAAUGACUUCUUGGGCAUGGUGGAGUUCUCUCCAAAGACCCUCCAGCAGAAGCCACCUAACGGCUGGUUCCGCCUCCUGCCCUUUCCCAGAGCCGAGGAGGAUUCUGGGGGGACCCUGGGUGCCCUGCGAGUGAAGGUACGCCUGAUUGAGGACCGCGUCCUGCCCUCCCAGUGCUACCAGCCUCUCAUGGAGCUGCUCAUGGAGUCUGUGCAGGGGCCAGCAGAGGAGGACACUGCUAGCCCCUUGGCUUUGCUGGAAGAGCUGACCUUGGGGGACUGCCGCCAGGACCUUGCCACCAAGCUGGUGAAACUCUUUCUUGGCCGGGGACUGGCUGGGCGCUUUCUGGACUAUCUCACCCGGCGUGAGGUGGCUCGGACCAUGGACCCCAACACCCUCUUCCGUUCUAACUCCCUGGCAUCCAAGUCGAUGGAACAGUUUAUGAAGCUCGUGGGCAUGCCCUACCUGCACGAGGUCCUGAAGCCUGUGAUUAGCCGCGUCUUUGAGGAGAAGAAGUACAUGGAGCUGGAUCCCUGCAAGAUGGACCUGGGCCGCACCCGGAGGAUCUCCUUCAAAGGCGCACUCUCGGAGGAGCAGAUGCGGGAGACCAGCCUGGGGCUGCUGACGGGCUACCUGGGGCCCAUCGUGGACGCCAUCGUGGGCUCCGUGGGGCGCUGCCCGCCCGCCAUGCGCCUCGCCUUCAAGCAGCUGCACCGGCGCGUGGAGGAGCGCUUCCUCCAGGCAGAGCACCAGGAUGUGAAGUACCUGGCCAUCAGCGGAUUUCUCUUCUUGCGAUUCUUCGCGCCUGCCAUCCUUACCCCAAAGCUGUUUGACCUUCGGGACCAACACGCGGACCCCCAGACUAGCCGCUCACUGCUGUUGCUUGCCAAGGCUGGAGUGCAGUGGCACGAUCUUGGCUUACUGCAACCUCUGCCUCCUCGGUUCAAGUGAUCUUCCCACCUCAGCUUCUGGAGUAGCUGGAUUUACAGGCGUGAGCCACCACGACCAGCUAAUUUUUGCAUUUUUAGUAGAGAUGAGGUAUCGCCAUGUUGGCCAGGCUGGUCACAAGCUCCUGACCUCAACUGAUCCGCUUACUUCGGCCUCCCAAAGUGCUGGGAUUACAGGCGUGAGCCACUGUGCCCGGCAAUAUGAGUCUUCUUUUAUUGAGCACUGAUUUGGGAGCCAGGAGGGGCCCUACCCUCUGCUGUGACCUUGGCCCCGGCAUCCCUCGCUUCUUUGCUCCAGGCUGUGCAGAGCAUCGGAAACCUGGG
rnacentral:sRNA from 1 species